UUACUUGAAGAAAAAAACGCGGAAAAUAAAAAAGCGACUAAAACCGCCGUCAAUGUCUUUCGCCAGCAUUUAGAAGCAAGAUAAAUCAACGAAGACGAUCUAGUUGGCUCAAAAGAAACUCUUGCCAACGUCCAUCGCAAGUUUUAUGCAGAAGCAAGAAAGAGAGACGGCGAACUUAUAUAUUAAACGAAAGAUAAAAUUAAACUUUAGAAGUGAAUAAUUGCUGCGGAGCGAGCGAGCCUGAAGCGAGCGAGCGUAGCAGCAGCCUAAUAUAUGCAGAGAGGG